rnacentral:rRNA from 1 species
CCUACGGGUGGCAGCAGUGAGGAAUAUUGGUCAAUGGGCGGGAGCCUGAACCAGCCAAGCCGCGUGAGGGAAGAAGGUCCAGCGUAUCGUAAACCUCUUUUGUCAGGGAACAAAGCCGGGGACUAGUCCCCGGAUGCGGGUACCUGGAGAAAAAGCAUCGGCUAACUCCGUGACAGCAGCCGCGGUAAUACGGAGGAUGCGAGCGUUAUCCGGUUUUAUUGGGUUAAAAGGGUGCGCAGGCGGCCUGUUAAGUCAGCGGUAAAAGUCCGGGGCUCAACCCCGGCGAGCCGUUGAAACUGGCGGGCUGGAGUUGGAGAGAAGUACGCGGAAUGCGCGGUGUAGCGGUGAAAUGCUUAGAUAUCGCGCAGAACCCCGAUUGCGAAGGCAGCGUACCGGCUCCAAACUGACGCUGAGGCACGAAAGCGUGGGUAUCGAACAGGAUUAGAUACCCUUGUAGUC